rnacentral:rRNA from 1 species
GCUAGUUGUAUUAACUAUUAGUUAAUACAAAAUCGACUAUGUCGACUAAAGUUCUAGGUAGAAUAAUGAUGAUGACAAUUUUCUACCUAUAUGUCUUGACCAAAUCUCGUGCCAGCAGUCGCGGUAAUACGUGAAAGACUAGUGUUAUUCAUCUUUAAUAGGUUUAAAGGGUACCUAGACGGUUUAUCUAGCCCAAAACAGGGUACGGAUUUUCUAGAGUUUUAUGUGAGGAGGGGAGUACUCAUAGAGUAGAGAUGAAAUUUUGUGAUACUAUGAGGAAACUGGUGGCGGCGAAAGCAACCUUCUAUGUAUAAACUGACGUUGAGGGACGAAGGCUUGGGUAGCAAAUAGGAUUAGAUACCCUAGUAGUCCAAGCAGACAAUUCUGAAUGCCAUAGAUUAGAUUUUUUGGUCUAUAAAUGAAAGUGUAAGCAUUCCACCUUAGGAGUAAUGUGGCAACACAGGAACUGAAAUCAUUAGACCGUUUCUGAAACCAGUAGUGAAGUAUGUUAUUUAAUUUGAUAGUCCUCAAAAAACCUUACCACAACUUGAAUGUUAUUUAAUUAAUACAAGCGUUGCACGGCUGUCUUCAGUUAAUGUCGUGAGAUUUUGGUUAACUCCCUUAAUUAACGUAAACCCAUAC